AUUUGGGCACUGUCUCGACAGCCCGCCCGGCGAAAUUGUAGUACUGGUGAAGAUGCCAGUUACCCGCAACUAGACGGAAAGACCCCAUGGAGCUUUACUGCAGUUUAAUACUGGGAAUCGGUAAUUCAUGUACAGGAUAGGUGGGAGACUGAGAAGCAUGGCCGUCAGGUCGUGUGGAGUCACCGGUGGGAUACCACUCUUGGAUUGCUGGUUUCCUAACCUGCGGCCCUGAAUCGGGUCGGGGGACACUGUUAGACGGGCAGUUUGACUGGGGCGGUCGCCUCCAAAAGAGUAACGGAGGCGCUCAAAGGUUCGUUCAGCACGGACGGAAAUCGUGCAUUGAGUGUAAACGCAUAAACGAGCCUAACUGCGAGACCGACGGGUCGAGCAGUAACGAAAGUUGGAGUUAGUGAUCCGGUGGUAUGUGAGUGGAAAUGCCAUCGCUCAACGGAUAAAAGCUACCCUGGGGAUAACAGGCUGAUCUCCCCCAAGCGUCCACAGCGACGGGGAGGUUUGGCACCUCGAUGUCGGCUCGUCGCAUCCUGGGGCUGUAUUCGGUCCCAAGGGUUUGGCUGUUCGCCAAUUAAAGCGGCACGCGAGCUGGGUUCAGAACGUCGUGAGACAGUUCGGUCCCUAUCUGUUGCGGGCGUAAGAGAUUUGAAGGGAGCUGUCCUUAGUACGAGAGGACCGGGAUGGACUGACCGCUGGUGCACCAGUUGUUCUGCCAAGAGCAUAGCUGGGUAGCUACGUCGGGACGAGAUAAACGCUGAAGGCAUCUAAGCGUGAAACUCCCCCUAAGAUAAGAUCUCUCAUCCUUUAUGGAGUAAGGCUCGUCGUAGACUAUGACGUUGAUAGGUCAGAGGUGGAAGCGCCGUAAGGUGUGUAGCUGACUGAUACUAAUAAGCCGAGGGCUUGACCU
rnacentral:rRNA from 1 species